rnacentral:rRNA from 1 species
AUUGAACGCUGGCGGCAUGCUUUACACAUGCAAGUCGAACGGUAACAGGCCGCAAGGUGCUGACGAGUGGCGAACGGGUGAGUAAUGCAUCGGAACGUGCCCAGUCGUGGGGGAUAACGCAGCGAAAGCUGCGCUAAUACCGCAUACGAUCUAUGGAUGAAAGCGGGGGACCGUAAGGCCUCGCGCGAUUGGAGCGGCCGAUGUCAGAUUAGGUAGUUGGUGGGGUAAAGGCGCACCAAGCCAACGAUCUGUAGCUGGUCUGAGAGGACGACCAGCCACACUGGGACUGAGACACGGCCCAGACUCCGACGGGAGGCAGGAGUGGGGAAUUUUGGGAAAGAGGCGCAAGCCUGAUCCAGCAAUGCCGCGAGGAGGAAGAAGGCCUUCGGGUUGUAAACUGCUUUUGUACGGAACGAAACGGUCCUGGUUAAUACCCGGGGCUAAUGACGGUACCGUAAGAAUAAGCACCGGCUAACUACGUGCCAGCCGCCGCAGUAAUAC